rnacentral:rRNA from 1 species
UUGUCGCGUCUGCUGUGAAAUCCCGAGGCUCAACCUCGGGCUUGCAGUGGGUACGGGCAGACUAGAGUGCGGUAGGGGAGAUUGGAAUUCCUGGUGUAGCGGUGGAAUGCGCAGAUAUCAGGAGGAACACCGAUGGCGAAGGCAGAUCUCUGGGCCGUAACUGACGCUGAGGAGCGAAAGCAUGGGGAGCGAACAGGAUUAGAUACCCUGGUAGUCCAUGCCGUAAACGUUGGGCGCUAGAUGUAGGGACCUUUCCACGGUUUCUGUGUCGUAGCUAACGCAUUAAGCGCCCCGCCUGGGGAGUACGGCCGCAAGGCUAAAACUCAAAGGAAUUGACGGGGGCCCGCACAAGCGGCGGAGCAUGCGGAUUAAUUCGAUGCAACGCGAAGAACCUUACCAAGGCUUGACAUACACCGGAAACGGCCAGAGAUGGUCGCCCCCUUGUGGUCGGUGUACAGGUGGUGCAUGGUUGUCGUCAGCUCGUGUCGUGAGAUGUUGGGUUAAGUCCCGCAACGAGCGCAACCCUCGUUCUAUGUUGCCAGCGGGUUAUGCCGGGGACUCAUAGGAGACUGCCGGGGUCAACUCGGAGGAAGGUGGGGAUGACGUCAAAUCAUCAUGCCCCUUAUGUCUUGGGCUUCACGCAUGCUACAAUGGCCGGUACAAAGGGCUGCGAUACCGUAAGGUGGAGCGAAUCCCAAAAAGCCGGUCUCAGUUCGGAUUGAGGUCUGCAACUCGACCUCAUGAAGUCGGAGUCGCUAGUAAUCGCAGAUCAGCAACGCUGCGGUGAAUACGUUCCCGGGCCUUGUACACACCGCCCGUCAAGUCAUGAAAGUCGGUAACACCCGAAGCC